rnacentral:misc_RNA from 1 species
AAUGCGCUAAGUAAUGUGAAUUGCAGAAUUCAGUGAAUCAUCGAAUCUUUGAACGCACCUUGCGCUCCUUGGUAUUCCGAGGAGCAUGCCUGUUUGAGUGUCAUGGAAUUCUCAACUCUAUUUGCUUUUGUGAAUAGAGCUUGGAUUUGGAGGUUUAUUGCUGGUACUUGUGAUCGGCUCCUCUUGAAUGCAUUAGCUCGAACCUUUGCGGAUCAGCUAUCGGUGUGAUAAUUGUCUACGCCGUUGCAGUGAAGCAUAUCAAUGGGCUCGGCUUCCAAUCGUCCUUUACUGGACAAUGACUUUGACCUUUGACCUCAAAUCAGGUAGGAUUACCCGCUGAACUUAAGC